rnacentral:rRNA from 1 species
UAAAACCAGCACCUCAAGUGGUCAGGAGGAUUAUUGGGCCUAAAGCAUCCGUAGCCUGCUCUGUAAGUUUUCGGUUAAAUCUAUAUGCUCAACGUAUAGGCCGCCGAAAAUACUGCAGUGCUAGGAAGUGGGAGAGGUAGACGGUACUUGAUAGGAAGGGGUAAAAUCCUUUGAUCUAUCGAUGACCACCUGUGGCGAAGGCGGUCUACCAGAACACGUUCGACGGUGAGGGAUGAAAGCUGGGGGAGCAAACCGGAUUAGAUACCCGGGUAGUCCCAGCUGUAAACGAUGCAGACUCGAUGAUGCAUUGGCAUAUAGCCAGUGCAGUGUCGCAGGGAGGCCGUUAAGUCUGCCGCCUGGGAAGUACGUACGCAAGUAUG